rnacentral:rRNA from 1 species
UACGUAGGGUGCAAGCGUUGUCCGGAAUUAUUGGGCGUAAAGAGCUCGUAGGCGGUUUGUCGCGACUGGUGUGAAAAUCCAGGGCUUAACCCUGGACCUGCAUCGGGUACGGGCAGACUAGAGUGCGGUAGGGGAGAUCGGAAUUCCUGGUGUAGCGGUGAAAUGCGCAGAUAUCAGGAGGAACACCAGUGGCGAAGGCGGAUCUCUGGGCCGUAACUGACGCUGAGGAGCGAAAGCAUGGGGAGCGAACAGG